CUUGUACUCCCUCCGUUGGAAAAAGCUUGUCCCCCAAAUGGAUGUAUCUAGCAUCAAGUUAGUCCUAGAUACAUCCAUGUAUCUAGCAUCAAGUCAGUCCUAGAUACAUCCAUUUGAGGGACAAGAUAGGGACAAGUUUUUUCAGACGGAGGGAGUACGUG
rfam:Triticum aestivum genome assembly, contig: Triticum_aestivum_CS42_TGACv1_scaffold_578398_7BL